UACGGGGGGAGCAAGCGUUGUUCGGAUUUACUGGGCGUAAAGGGCGCGUAGGCGGCCACCGCAAGUCGACUGUGAAAUCUCCGGGCUUAACCCGGAAAGGUCAGCCGAUACUGCGGGCUAGAGUGCAGAAGGGGCAACUGGAAUUCUCGGUGUAGCGGUGAAAUGCGUAGAUAUCGAGAGGAACACCUGCGGCGAAGGCGGGUUGCUGGGCUGACACUGACGCUGAUGCGCGAAAGCUAGGGGAGCGAACGGG
rnacentral:rRNA from 1 species